UUUAUACUGGUUGGUGUUUCUAGGUUCCCUCUGCAUUGGAACAGUGGAAAGCGCUGGCUAUCUAUACAGAAUGCCACAUCAUGGAGACGUUUGUUAUUACGAAGAUCUCAAAAAUGCCCACUUCAGUUAUGACGAGGAGACUUGUAGAAGACCACAAGAAUGGUGUUAUCUACACAAAUGUUGGACAACAUGUGGAUCCACCAGGCGCCAAUCACCGAUUAACCUCGACACGUCAGAGGCCAGAAGGACCAAAGCAAGCUUUCAGCUAUAUAACAAGGAUAAACGGGUACCUGCUUUUACAUACAACAAUGGACACGCGCCCCACUUUAGCGUUAAACUUAACGAAACCAAGAGAAACAUUACUCUGAAGCUAAAGAGUGUAAGUGGAAGAAAUCCGAAUGAAGAUUACAUCCUCGCAGAUCUACACAUUCAUCUCGGCAAGGAGAAGGAUGUUGGUUCGGAACACUCUAUAGAUGGAAAGUUCUAUCCUAUGGAGGCUCAUAUGGUGUUCUACAACAGUAAAUAUGGGGACAUUUCGCAGGCCAAACCAAAAGACGAUGGUCUAGUUGUCAUCGGAGUCAUGAUAAAGGCAAAAAGGGGGCAUGAUGAUGAUGAUGAUGAUGAUAAUAAUGAUAAUGACGAUGAUGAAGAGGAGGAUGAUGGAUAUGAAAAAGGCGACGACAAAGAAAGAUCGGAAUGGGAGUCUGCGUGGGGACACAAAUAUACGUAUACUAGAGUCUGUUGUCACAGGAACUAUGGGGCCUAUAAACACAAUGGAGAUGGCGAGGAUUAUUUCAGCAAGAAGUGCUAUAAAGGGAAUAGAAAAUGCAAAGUCCGAUUUGCUAGAACACUCAGCCAUAUAAUGGAAAAAUACUACGAAAAGAUAAAAGAAUACCACCACAAUGAAGAAGAACCAAAGGAAACAAAAGACCCUGAAAAUUUGCAGUGUGGUGAGAAGCCCUCUGAUAAAACUAUUCAAAGUGAGUGCACACGAGGUGGUGGACACCCAGAAGAAACGUAUGACGUACAUUGUGGGAUAUCCCCGGUAGAUGUCCUUCCGCUCGAUCAAAGGUUCUACACCUACCCAGGAUCUCUGACCACGCCCCCUUGUUAUGAAAGCGUCCAGUGGAUAGUGUACAAAUGUCCAAUCAAAGUGUCCCGCAAGGUGGGUGAACAAUGUUUUUUGUUUGACCUGUAAGUUUUAAGUAAUCUUUCUUUUUGAAGAUGACUCUUGUCUUGGGCGGGGGUUGAAGAAACAUUUAGACUGCAAGGCAUUUAAAGCACUACAACAUGUUGAGGACGCCGAGAAGAAACCUCUAAAUCAUCAUGGAGUAAAAAGACCUAUUAAGAUAAAUGAAUUUUUCAAUGUCUCCAAGAACUUCUGAGUGACGUCUAGGUUGUAAGACGUAGUUUGGCUCUGGCUGGUAAAUUAUUGGUCACGACAUUUGUGGCCAUGAACCAAAUAUGCAGAAUAUUUACUGUGUUCGAGAUUUUAACUGUUUCCAUAAAUCAUACUGCAUUAUUUAGAUUAGUGAAACAAUAUUCAUGGAUGUUAUUUAUUAAGCAACUUGCUAAUAAAAAAGUAUAUCAUGAAUAAGACAGUUAAUAAAAAAUGAUAAUUUCGAAAUGCUUGACUUCUUUAUGAUAAUCUGAAAUGACUUAAAUGCUGUCAUUUUUAUUUGUGAAUGUGUGACAACGAAUGACGGACACCCCUCCUGAACUUUUUAUCAAAUAUUGAUGCAUAAAAGAAACUAUAAAUUUACCGCGUAAAAAAUUACAGAUCAGAGACUGCAACGUUAAUUAAUCAAUAGACAAAUGCACACAAGAAAUGUGACCGUCCAAGUAAGCUGAUUUCAGAUAU